GGGGUUGACUGGUUUCGACAGCAAGACCAAUGGGUAAGUAAGCAUGCAGAGAACCGUAGCGCGAUCUCUUAAAUCCCUUGCUACAACAUUUUAACUGGCAACGAAGAGUUCGCUCUUGCAGCUUAAUCCGAAGUUUAGUAGGUUUCAAGCGCUUUCCUGAAGAUAGUAAGGAAGCAAGAUGUCUCACAAAUGCUCUGUUCUGCGGCGUUUGAUUCUGAGGCAUAGGAAUGCGGAAAUAAGGUUCUGAAAGCUUCGGCCAGGACUCGAAAAUUUUAGAAGCUAAGGUUUAGGUUGGGUGUUUGCUCUCUGCCUGAGCCCGAAAACCAAUAGCAAAAUAAGCAUGUAGAAAGCUUGCGUAUUGCUUGUUUGGACGAGGGUUCGAAUCCCUCCAACUCCACUU
rnacentral:tmRNA from 1 species